AGCGGCGGACGGGUGAGUAACGCGUGGGUAACCUGCCCUGUACACACGGAUAACAUACCGAAAGGUAUGCUAAUACGAGAUAAUAUACUUUUAUCGCAUGGUAGAAGUAUCAAAGCUCUGGCGGUACAGGAUGGACCCGCGUCUGAUUAGCUAGUUGGUAAGGUAACGGCUUACCAAGGCGACGAUCAGUAGCCGACCUGAGAGGGUGAUCGGCCACAUUGGAACUGAGACACGGUCCAAACUCCUACGGGAGGCAGCAGUGGGGAAUAUUGCACAAUGGGCGAAAGCCUGAUGCAGCAACGCCGCGUGAGCGAUGAAGGCCUUCGGGUCGUAAAGCUCUGUCCUCAAGGAAGAUAAUGACGGUACUUGAGGAGGAAGCCCCGGCUAACUACGUGCCAGCAGCCGCGGUAAUACGUAGGGGGCUAGCGUUAUCCGGAAUUACUGGGCGUAAAGGGUGCGUAGGUGGUUUCUUAAGUCAGAGGUGAAAGGCUACGGCUCAACCGUAGUAAGCCUUUGAAACUGGGAAACUUGAGUGCAGGAGAGGAGAGUGGAAUUCCUAGUGUAGCGGUGAAAUGCGUAGAUAUUAGGAGGAACACCAGUUGCGAAGGCGGCUCUCUGGACUGUAACUGACACUGAGGCACGAAAGCGUGGGGAGCAAACAGGAUUAGAUACCCUGGUAGUCCACGCCGUAAACGAUGAGUACUAGCUGU
rnacentral:rRNA from 1 species